CGGCACGUUGAUCAGGAAGAUCCAGUGCCAGGAGAAAUAGGUCGUUAUGAAGCCGCCGAGCGGCGGGC
rnacentral:sRNA from 1 species